AACGAACGCUGGCGGCGCGUUUUAAGCAUGCAAGUCGGACGGCAGCGUGUAGCGAUACACGUGAGAGUGGCGAACGGGUGAGUAACACGUGGGUGACCUAGCUUAGGUGAUGGGGAUAGCCUGUGGAAACACAGGGUAAUACCGAAUACGCCUUUACAGGUGGAGCUGUGGAGGGAAAGGCGCUUUAGGCGCUGCACUAAGGGGGGCCUGCGGGCCAUUAGGUUAGUUGGUGGGGUAAAGGCCUACCAAGGCGACGAUGGAUAGCCGGCCUGAGAGGGUGUACGGCCACACUGGGACUGAGAGACGGCCCAGACUCCUACGGGAGGCAGCAGCUAAGAAUCUUCCGCAAUGGGGGCAACCCUGACGGAGCGACGCCGCGUGAACGAGGAAGGCCGAAAGGUUGUAAAGUUCUUUUCUUGGGGAAGAAUAAAGGGAAGAGGGAAUGCUUCUCUGAUGACGGUAACCGAGGAAAAAGCCCCGGCCAAUUACGUG
rnacentral:rRNA from 1 species